AUAUCAGUAAGCGGAGGAAAAGAAACUAACAAGGAUUCCCCUAGUAACGGCGAGUGAAGCGGGAACAGCUCAAAUUUGAAAUCUGCACGAGCAAUCGUUCAGAAUUGUAGUUUAUAGGCGCGUGUGGCAAGGGCGGCGCAGUUCAAGUUCUCUGGAACGAGACAUCACAGAGGGUGAUAAUCCCGUUGUGGCUGUGCAUCGCGGUCUUGAUUAUGACACGUGGCCGACGAGUCGGGUUGUUUGGGAAUGCAGCUCAAAAUGGGUGGUAAAUUACAUCUAAAGCUAAAUAUUGGCGAGAGACCGAUAGCGCACAAGUA
rnacentral:rRNA from 1 species